rnacentral:rRNA from 1 species
UACAGAGGUCUCAAGCGUUGUUCGGAUUCAUUGGGCGUAAAGGGUGUGUAGGUGGCGCGCUAAGUCGGGUGUGAAAUUUCGGAGCUUAACUCCGAAACUGCAUUCGAUACUGGCGUGCUUGAGGACUGGAGAGGAGACUGGAAUUUACGGUGUAGCGGUGAAAUGCGUAGAUAUCGUGAGGAAGACCAGUGGCGAAGGCGGGUCUCUGGACAGUUCCCGACGCUGAGGCACGAAGGCCAGGGGAGCAAACGGG